rnacentral:lncRNA from 1 species
GGAUCUGGCGGGGCACGACGUGCUAACCGAAUAGUUAUUUGAUGCACUGGAACACUGCACAUGACACUGAGUACCAUUUAUCAGUAUCCACUUUUUGCGACCCCCCGAUCACAACUCUGCAGCAGCAUGCACAAUUACUGGUCCCAAGCUGCUGAGCAGAUGAUUGGUCCAGUUCGCACCAUGAAUUUGUCAGGAGAACGAAAAUGGACGCUAUUAAGCUACCUAGAUGCGUCUCGGCUGCAGCCUCAGGAAAACUUGAGCAGGUACACAUGUAUGCACAUGUAUAACCCGCGUGGGCAGAUGAGUGUGGCACGCGUCUCUCCGCGUCUCUCCGCAACUCUCAGACGUACCUCUUCUCUAGUCCUCCCGUAGGAUCGAGGUCAUCACCUUUCUACAUCCGAAUGGCUUUCGCCCUUCCAGUCUAUUUGACUAAAACAAGCUCGCGCUGCCCGCUGCAUCUCUCCUCAAGGCCAGAAGUUACUGUAUGAUCGAAAGGAAGGAUCAGGGACGUGGUGGCACGGGCGGCAAGAAGGUGGCAGGGGCCAUCGUUUCCGGUCGCCCACGCAAGACAAAUUUCUGGUCCUUUCCUCUCUGCUAGGACGUGGCAGCAUCUACUCACGGGCGAAAUUACAUAAGAGGCUUCGUAGAUCAUAUAAGCGCAGAGGAGUGAAACAGUUAGUGGGUGUCGCAACGGUUGUGCGAGGGGAUUUCUUGCGUCGAUGAUGUACGCUGCGAGCAUGUUCGAAUUUAAACACCUGGAAUUGGACACUGUAGAAUAAGAUUCGUCAAAUAAACAUAACUGCUGUAAAAAACCUGAACAUAAAGCUGAU